UACAGGGGGGGCAAGCGUUGUCCGGAUUUAUUGGGCGUAAAGCGCGCGCAGGCGGUUUCUUAAGUCUGAUGUGAAAGCCCACGGCUCAACCGUGGAGGGUCAUUGGAAACUGGGGAACUUGAGUGCAGAAGAGAAAAGCGGAAUUCCACGUGUAGCGGUGAAAUGCGUAGAGAUGUGGAGGAACACCAGUGGCGAAGGCGGCUUUUUGGUCUGUAACUGACGCUGAGGCGCGAAAGCGUGGGGAGCAAACAGG
rnacentral:rRNA from 1 species